rnacentral:rRNA from 1 species
UACGAACUGUGCAAACGUUAUUCGGAUUCACUGGGCUUAAAGGGUGCGUAGGCGGCCAUGUAAGUAGGGUGUGAAAUCCCCCGGCUUAACCGGGGAACUGCGCCCUAAACUGUAUGGCUGGAGUGAGAUAGGGGUGUGUGGAACUUCCGGUGGAGCGGUGAAAUGUGUUGAUAUCGGAAGGAACACCUGUGGCGAAAGCGGCUCACUGGACCAUUACUGACACUGAGGCACGAAAGCUAGGGGAGCAAACAGG